rnacentral:tRNA from 2 species
GCCCGCGUAGCUCAAUGGAUAGAGUACCUGACUUCGAAUCAGAUGGUUGGGGGUUCGAGUCCCUCCGCGGGUA